CCUUGAAAUAAGAAAAGCUCUUCUUCCCAGAAUCCAAUCUAGUCAGACUUCUGAACUAGAUGACAUACUCCUCCUUAGGAAGAUAAGCAAACUACUAUAUGAAAGACAAAAGAGGGAGAUAAAUGACUUCUUUGCAACAAACUAAACAUAUAGGUACUAUAGCAAUGAAGAUUUACAAAGUGCUAAUGUGAUGGGCAUUAUUACUGCACUGGGAAAAAAGAAAGCCUGGUGAUUUAGUGAUAGUCUUAGCUUAGUUACCCGACCAAGCUUUUG